GAGUUUUAGAUAAUUUCAGUUGUAUUUCUUUGUAAUUUUGUGUUGUACAAAGAUUAAUUUAACAUUUUCUCUGGAAGUAUUAAUUUAGAAAGAUAAUAUGCUUCAUUGGUGUUGUGUUUUGAAGUGUGAAAUGCAAAGUAAUUGUGAUAAAGUCAAGAUAAAGUUCACUUUUAAACUGAACUAAAUAGGUAUCUGAGAGACAACAAUGGUUAAAUGCAAUACAAUGUACAGGUUUUACUAGCGAAAUGAAAAUUUUCCUGUCCUGUCUGCUGUAAUCAUUUUAUAUCUGGUAAGUUACAAUUACAACAGUAACGAUUUUUGAAGAUGUUAACAUUUUAAUCUUAUAGGAAAAUAGGAAAACCAGCCGACUUAAUCGAUAAUAACAAUCUCCAGAUUGGGUUCCUUCAAUAAAUAUGGGCUAUAAACACAAUGAAAUAAGUUCCCCAAAAUCUAAAAUGGAGUGGUAUCAAAGGAGAAUUAAAGGAAAAAAUAUUCAUAUUGAAAUUAUUUAUAAGGCACUGGACUGUCUUAAAUUCUACAAUAAUACUAGAAUCAGCUGAGAGAAGUGGUCUACAAAAAACCAGGAAGGAAACGGAAUAUGUGGCUACGAAAGGCAAAAGAAAGGUUUACAAAGCAAAUGUGACACAUUUUUUUGAAAUAUUUAGGAAUAUCAGUAAAUUGCAUUAAAAAAUGUAUGAAAAGAUUUUGUUCAAUAAAAAUGUUUAUAUUUA